rnacentral:misc_RNA from 1 species
ACAGAAAAUGAAAGCUGCCUUUUCCUGCGCAUCAAAUAAGAGACAAAAAUAACAAUCAGAGAUAAAAAGUUCAUAGAUUUCUCCUAGCACCCUCUUCUGAAAACAUUCCUUUCUCUUUCUUUCUAACUUUCCCUAUUCCCACAGUGUCACUUAUCAUUACAAACUUCUUUAAACGCAUGACUGAAACUAUCAAAAUUACCUUGAUCUUGGUACCAAAGUGAAUCAAUCACCUAAUUAUUAAUCUAUUAUUUUAAAGACAAUAUUUGUUCUAGUUGUUUGGUUGGCAACCAGGUUGCUUGCUUUUGUUUUUCAUUAAUUCCCUUCUUCUUGCUCCUCAAAUAUAUUUAAGUUUUUUGCUUCAGAAUGUAUACAUAAAAAUUCGGACUUAUAACCAAUGAGCAUUAACUUAGUGAUAUUAAAGUAUCUUUAGGGCCAUAAGAUCUAGACUUUGAGUCCUAUUCGAAGCCAAUUGUGCCCAAAAAAAAAUUGGGAUAAAGAGUAAAACUUGUUUCAACCAAAAUUUAAGGGGUAUGCAAAAAAGAUUACACAUUUUUAAAGGUGAAUCAUAUUCAAACAACUAUCUAUAUAGAAUCACAAGAAUUUAAUAAGUGAAUAUCACUACUCUUACUGCUCCAAAGUGUUGUCAAGACACCACAUGAAUAUUUUAAUAUGUUAUAUUCGAGUAUAAAAAAUCUCAGCUCCUACCUAUUAGUAUUUUUUUUUUUUUAAGAAAAAUUUAUUCACUGCAGGAAUUCCUCAAGUUUUUCCCUAAACCAUAUGAAAUCGAGGAAAAGGAUGCAGAUCCGUAUAGCCGACUCAAACUUCAGUUGAGUUGAGGAAUCCCUAAUGUUCAACCCCACGAGGCUUAUGCUAUUAUGCUAUUUUCUUUCUUGUGAUUAGGUCUUGCAAGUGUCUUUCAAUCACAUAAUCCCCUAAACCCUUGUCAUUUUUCCCUUGCAAGUCUUCUUGGAGAUCAGAAAGUAUAAAGGAUAAGUUUUGCUAUUGUAAUGAAUUGCAACACCAAACCAAUGAAACAAAUCAACAGAACCACAAAUCAUAUUACCUAAAAAAAAAUUGAAAACAACAGUAGUCUAAAAAAAAUCAAAACUUGCAUAGAAGGUUUAGAAAUCAACUUACUUGGCAUAUGUCACAACGAGGCA